GGACUACACGGGUUUCUAAUCCUGUUUGCUCCCCACGCUUUCGUGCCUGAACGUCGGUGCUGGACCAGGAAGCCGCUUUCGCCACUGAUGUUCCUUCCGAUAUCUACGCAUUUCACUGCUACACCGGAAAUUCCGCUUCCCUCUUCCGCACCCUAGCUGUUCAGUCUCGAAUGCAAUUCCCAGGUUGAGCCCGGGGCUUUCACAUCCGACUUAAACAACCGUCUACGCACGCUUUACGCCCAGUAAUUCCGAUUAACGCUUGCACCCUCUGUAUUACCGCGGCGGCUGGCAC
rnacentral:rRNA from 2 species